CCUACGGGAGGCUGCAGUCGAGAAUCAUUCACAAUGGGGGAAACCCUGAUGGUGCGACGCCGCGUGGGGGAAUGAAGGUCUUCGGAUUGUACACCCCUGUCAUGUGGGAGCAAAUUAAAAAGAUAGUACCACAAGAGGAAGAGACGGCUAACUCUGUGCCAGCAGCCGCGGUAAUACAGAGGUCUCAAGCGUUGGUCGGAAUCACUGGGCGUAAAGCGUGCGUAGGCUGUUUCGUAAGUCGUGUGUGAAAGGCGCGGGCUCAACCCGCGGACGGCACAUGAUACUGCGAGACUAGAGUAAUGGAGGGGGAACCGGAAUUCUCGGUGUAGCAGUGAAAUGCGUAGAUAUCGAGAGGAACACUCGUGGCGAAGGCGGGUUCCUGGACAUUAACUGACGCUGAGGCAUGAAGGCCAGGGGAGCGAAAGGGAUUAGAUACCCCAGUAGUC
rnacentral:rRNA from 1 species